rnacentral:lncRNA from 1 species
GUCAAUUAUAAACAUUUUUCCUGAGGUUCAACUGUGGAAAACAACAACAACAACAACAAAAUACAGUGUUACUGCACAGUCGUCAGAAUUGUGUAGAACAACUCUGUCAGGUUGAGAUUUUUUUAAAAAAUAGUAACAAAAAAAGCUGACAUGCAGCAAAGUGAGGGCAUGCAUUGUACAUGAUUCUGUAGGAUUUUUCAAACCUUUAAUUGCAACUGGCAACAUUUUUUAAUAUUUUAUAAUGUUUCCCACACUUAACAAGCAAGUUUUAUAAUAAAACUACACCAUUGAAAUGAUGCUUCUUGGUACAUUGUUGAUCAUGAGAGCCAUUCCACAGUUAAGAGAUUCAUAUCAAAAAUAUAUGCUUUUAAAAAGUAAAAAAUAUUUAUGAAUGUGCAGGAACAUUUUAAUUUUAUUUAUUUGUUUAUAUUUUCACUCAGAAAGUUUUCAUUCAUAUGAAUAAGAAAUCUGCAUAUACAAGGCUUAGUUCUUUAUCCAUCAGACAUUAAUUUAGGUCUUCAAGGGCUCUUAUUGAAAGCAAUAAUGUAAUUCAUGUGCAUGAAAUUGGGAAUGAGCAUGUCUGGGCCUGAGUAAGCGACUCUGCAUGAUACAUUUGUCUCUAUGAGCCAUCCGUUUCACUUCUUCUUUUGCAGGUACUUUUUACACUUAGUAAAAGUUCAGUAAAGCAGUUGAAACAUGGCAUGGGAAAGAAAAAUCUCUACAAGGAUGAAUAAAAGUUCAAUCACUACUAAGAGAGGUAGACAAAAGGUACUAUACUGUAGGAGCCAGACUAAUUCGUCUAGAGGAUAAGUUAUGUUUACAUCAGUUCUGCCCCUUCCAUCACUGUCUUCUCUUCAAGAAUACGUUCAGCUGUGUUAUUAAUUGGAGUUACACAGUAGUAUGCCUAAAGGCCAAAGGCCAGUGAGACCGUAUUGUUGCACCUGAUUCUAAACAUCCUCAAGAGUUUUUCCUAAUCGAAUGAUAACAAAAGUACAAGUUUGCUUAGAGAAGGAAUCUAUUUUUCUAAUAGUUAGUAUGCCUAUUCCUAAAACAGUUGUGAUUCUAAAAUAGUAUGCUUCCCAUGGACAGCAGUGGCACAGUAGCUUUUGAGUGUGAUAUGGUGUAACAUUUCAGACAAAAAAACCCACUCAAAUUUGUGUCCUUUUAUUACUCAAAUUUGUCAUGCU